UUUUGAGUAAGAAUUUAUAAAAGU
rnacentral:piRNA from 1 species